GCCCGGGUGGCUCAGUCGGUUAAGCAACUGACUUCGGCUCAGGCCAUGAUCUCGCAGUUCGUGGGUUCGAGCCCCAUAUCGGGCU
rnacentral:tRNA from 1 species